UGUAGCUAAAGAUAACACCAGGACUUACUGUUGGGUUUGAAAUAAUACGAACAUCACCACCACCAGGAGCCCAUGUAUCAUAAAUUCCGCCAAAGUACAUUGCCUUCCAAACUAAAAGCCAAGCACCGAAUCCUAGUACGAUAAGAUGAAUACCUAAAAUAGUAGUCAUUUUAUUUUUAUCUUUCCA
rnacentral:antisense_RNA from 1 species